rnacentral:rRNA from 1 species
CCGGCACGGGUGAGUAACACGUAUCCAACCUGCCGUCUACUCUUGGACAGCCUUCUGAAAGGAAGAUUAGUACAAGAUGGCAUCAUGAGUUCACAUGUUCACAUGAUUAAAGGUAUUCCGGUAGACGAUGGGGAUGCGUUCCAUUAGAUAGUAGGCGGGGUAACGGCCCACCUAGUCUUCGAUGGAUAGGGGUUCUGAGAGGAAGGUCCCCCACAUUGGAACUGAGACACGGUCCAA